ensembl:lncRNA
GGGGUCGCGGGGAACAGCCGCGGUGCUGGCAGCCAGCGAUGCUCACGGCGCGGUGGGAGGGAAGCUGCGGGCAGCUCGCCGGGGCCCGCGGGUGACGGGGAGGUGACCUCGGCCACGCCAGCGCGGUGCCCAGGGCGAAGGGGAUGGGACCUGAUCCAUCCCGUCAUCGGAAGAGUUUUACUGCAAAUAGCCAUGGCACCCCGGAUCAGACUGAGCCUUUCCAAGCCUCUCCCAACCAUACGGGAAACCCACGAGGAAGCGAUGGAGGAUUCAAGCAGCAACCCAAAGUGUGCUGGAAGUGCUGCAGCCAGCCCAGCCUCGUACUCCAGCGAUGACUACAUCCAAUCCAUCUGCCACCUCGCCAGACCCACCUUCCCAGCCCUUCUGGAAAGCAGACGUAAGGGUAAGGACAGAAAGACCCCGAAGACUUCUGAGGAUGUGUCAGGUUCUCCACCACUUGUGGGGACACAGCAGGCAAGGUCAAAAUGCAAAUUGACCAAUUUCAUCUCGAAUGUGGUGCCACUGGGAAAAGUCUCACCUGCAGAAACCGACUUUUGGUCCAGAGAGGACCCCCUGGAACAAAUUUACACCAAUGCAGGAAAUCUUUGCUCCUCCAAGGCUUCUUCCUAUGUUGAAAGUGCCAGCAGUGGUUACUCACAGUGCAACUCUUCUGCCCCAAAUGGUGACCUUCAUCCCACAAACCUGGAAGAAAAAAACACAGGGAAAAACAGUUUUCCACGAGUGUUCAGUUUUCCAAGGCUUCCCUCCCCAAGACCGGUUCAGAAAGAAGCAGUAUGCUCAGAGCUGAGGUAUCUCAGAAGGGCUGAGGGAACAGUUUUAGGGAAUAACCACAGUCAGAAAGAAAAUGGCCCCAUGUUCAUUAACACUGAAGAGCAAUUGGCACCCUCAGCCAGAGGGAAGGUGGCAGGAAACCCUGCCUUGCCCUGCUCUGAAGGAAGGCAGAAUUUGUUCAAUGCAGCAGGCAUAGAUGAAAAAGAAGGGAGAAAAACUUCUCACUGUGACAAAAAUGUCACGGGUGGUGUUCCCACUAAGCAGAGAUACUUCGAGUCUUUCCAGGUACCUAAAAAAGCCACCAUCCAUAACUGGAUUUCAGAGCACAGAUGCAUCUGGAAAGAAGCAAAGAUAAAAGCUUGUUUGCUCCCAGCCAUUGCUGAAGUGUGAAGAAGUAGCUGCUUAGAAUAGUUUUAUUCACAAGAUAUAACCACCCUGUGCUCUAGCAGCUCUCCCUGGAGUUCUCACACAGAAAACAUGGCUUGAACAUGCAUGCGAGUCAGGCAGACUCUUGUGAUCCAUCAAAUCCCUCAUUCGUGGGCAAAGGGACAAUUCAGAGUCUCAUCUGCUAAGGAAACAGCAAUCAGUUUUUAUUUUGGAAAGGCAACAGUUCAUAAAGCAUCUCCUCCCACCUACUGCCGAGAACUGCCCUGAGCAUGAAGAAAAGCUGGAGAGAGCUGGAGAGAACACAAAUCCCAUCUGCUGGAGAAGAAGUGGGAACAUGGAAACACCAGUGCUUUCCAGCCAGUGCCAAGCAGCCAAAUGUUGCUGACACCUGAGUGCAGUUACUCAAGAAGGAACCCUUUGCCCAAGGCUCGGACAGUACGAAAUGCACUUUCUCUGACACACACAUUUCCUGGGAUACCCAUCACAGAUCCCUGCCUCAGCACCAGGAUCCCACUGGAGAGGUCACCCAUUAGAGCAGUAGCAUAAAGAAUUACUUCUUAAAAAUCAUAAGAAGUCUAUUAAGAGGAUUUUCUGGAGGGCAAGGUGGAAUUACAACUCCUUGGGUGGGGAUUUUCCUGCUGCUUACCCUGUCACAAUUCUGUUCCCUUUACUCCUGGACUUAGCCCUGGCAGGAGGAGAGCUGGGAGCCCUGGUGGGCAUUGCUGUGCCAGUGCUGUGGCUGUUGUGGAGCCAGCUGGAAACAGGCAUCAUGUUGGACUCUGCACUGUCACAGCCAGGCUGCACACCACAGGCACCCACAGGAUCUGCUGCUCGGUGUGGGGAGCCCAUGAGCCCACACAGAGCUCUGCAGGCUCGGAAGAGCAGCCUUGGCUGAGGGGCAGCCUAGGGAUGCUGGGCUGGUGCUGAUAGAACCUGAAUGUAAAAUAAUAACUUGUGUUUCCCGUCAUACCUGUGCUUCUGUAUUCUCACCUACCUGACUGUGCUGAUGAUGUGGAGUGAGCUUUGCUUCAUGCUGCAAGACUGAAACAUGGAAAAAACCAAAUGUGCAUGUCCCAGCCAUCCAGCACACAGCAUAUACAAACGAUUCAUGUUGAUGGUGUUGCUACAUGGGAUGUCUGUAGGACGAGAAGCACUCCCAGGAGGCUGGGAGGUCCUGGCAUGGGGUAGUGGGCACGUGUCCAGGCCAUCCCUCGCUGCCACACAGAGACUUCUCCAUCAGAGAAGCUGCCAUUGCCACUUUCUCCUGCAGUCAGAGCAACCUCACCCACCUGUGUCUGGUGCCACACUCUCCACAGCCACUCAGGAGAUGUAGCUGAGAAAACUGCAAAGCAAUACCAGCCUAAUUAUUACUACUACUAGGAAUAAAUGUUUUGGCACAGCAAAGAGCAGAGGGACCAGGCUGUUUGCUCAACAGCAGCUAAGAUGAAAAACAGCAUUGGAAAGCUGCAAUUAUAAAAAUGCUCACAAGUGAUUUCCAAACCACCCUCAAGCAGAUUAAAUGAAAAAGCAAUUUCUACUCAGCACCAACAUGAGUGUAAAUAUACUCAAGAAUCAAAAGGUGAGAGUGUUUGAGCUUCUCAUCCUCACAUCUCUUACCUCAAAUAUUUUUUUCUCCUGUUGAAACUCAUUAGUUCUAUGGAGCUGAGCAGCUUCUCAGCUCUGUUUUUGAGCUAACCAUACAGCAAGAACGGAAGUGAAGGUGGCUCCAGCAUUCAUUAAAGCUGAUGGAGAAAGUUGAACCCAGGAGGUCCCAGCCUGCUCUGCCUCCUCCACACCUGCCCCUCCCUUCUCAGGUAAAUGCUGGGGUUUAAGCAAUGCUUGUUCUCACUGCUCUGCUGUCAUUUAAAUGUCUCUCCCUGUGGAUAUUUAUGACUCUAAUGCCUAACAAGUCUUGUGCCAACUGCAUGUAUCACUGCUUUUGACAGAGGAAACAAAUAAAAUCCUUCCAUCCAG